rnacentral:rRNA from 1 species
GAUGAACGCUAGCGGCAGGCUUAACACAUGCAAGUCGAGGGGUAUUGGUUUUCGGACCAAGAGACCGGCGCACGGGUGCGUAACGCGUAUGCAAUCUACCUUUUGCAGAGGGAUAGCCCCAGAGAAAUUUGGAUUAAUACCUCAUAGUAUAGUACUUUGGCAUCAAGGAACUAUUAAAGUCACAACGGCAAAAGAUGAGCAUGCGUCCCAUUAGCUAGUUGGUAAGGUAACGGCUUACCAAGGCUACGAUGGGUAGGGGUCCUGAGAGGGAGAUCCCCCGACACUGGUACUGAGACACGGACCUAGACUCCUACGGGAGCAGCAGUGAGGAAUAUUGGACAAU